AUUCUAUCAAACAUUUACAACUUUCCAAACUUUGAGAUUAUGUAGAGACGGUUUGGAGAUCUUGUCACACAAACUAGAAACCUUCCAUGCGAAUCUAUGAGCGUUAAGUAGACAUCUUUCAUGUUAACCUCACAUCCGUUUUCUGUUGUUUGCCCAAGACUCAAUAUGUUGUGCUUCAGGUCGGGUAUGUAGUAUAUGUCUUUGAGUGCCUUCUUCUCUCCAGUCUUGCACACAAAGGUAACCACACCCCUUCCUACAAUGUCAACACAUGAUCCAUCUCCAAACUUCACCUUCCCUUUGGUGUUGAGAUUCAAACUCGAAAAGAACUCCUUGUUCCCUGUCAUGUGAUUGCUCGCUCCAUUAUCCAAAUACCAGACAAUUGCAUUGCCUUUGUCGAUAUCAAGAUUCUUCGGAAUCACCUUAUCUUCGUUCAAAAACACCACCUUGUGUACAUAGAGUGCAUCGGCCUCUUCUGUCUCGUUUAGGUUGGUUUCUUGAUUCUUCUAUGUCUUCUCGGGAUAGAAAGUUGUGUAGUGACCAUGCUUGUUACAUCUCCAACAUAUCAGCUUUGAACGAUUCUUCUUGGAGUUGUUAUCUUCGGUGUAUGACGCACGGUUUUGGUUGUGUGACCUACCUCGACCUCUGGCUCUACCGUUCCUUCCUCUUCCUCUACCACGAGAAUUCUCAUAGCCCAUCUAACUAUGCUCUUCAUUGUUCGAAAACAUCAGCUUCCCUUGGUCUUCUUUCUGAGUUUCUUCUCCUACACGCUCCUCGUACGCCUUAAAUCUUCCAACUAUGUCACCCCGUCGACUUGAGAUCUAUGACUUUCUCAAGUGAUGCUACGAUCUGGAUAUACUUGUGUCUCAGACGACCCUUCAAAAACUUUUUGACCAUCUUGGAUUCUUCUAUGUUUUCUCCCAACGAGGUUGCUUUGGAUGAUAGGCCCGAUAUAUUCCCCGUGAAGUCAUCGACCGUAUCGUUCUCAUCCAUCUUCAACCUAUCAAACUCCGUCAUCAACGUCUGAAGUCUCGCCUCCUUUACACGAUCAGCUCUUAGGUGCGCGACAUGAUGGCGUUCCAGAUCUCUUUUGAUGCGGUUUGUUCUCCCACCUGGAGAAUCAAUGUCUCUAGAACAGAUUGAAACAAAAGAGCUAUCGCAACAUCAAUCUUCUUUUGAUCAUCUGAACCGGGUUCGAUCGUGUCCCACACUUCAUGAACACGAAGUAGAACCUUCAUCCUCAUUGACCAAACUGUGUAGUUUGUCGAUGACAACAUCGGACAUUGGAUGGAUGUUGAUCCAAAGUCCUUCGUGCGUGAAGCCCUAGUCAUCUUGCCGCCGCGAUCUCUUGUUCACAAGAAUCAGGAUCUUAAGGUACAACUUAAGCUUAGAUCGAGUCUCCAACUUGAGGCUCUGAUACCAAUUCAAAUCUCUUGGAAACACAAAUAGUUAUAAAAACAACUUUUCUAAUGUGAGAUGUCAAUCUAAAUCCCACAUUGGAAAUUAAACAAAGGAGAGUCUAAUAUAUAAAGAGAUGUCCAACUCUAAUUAGUACGAGGCCUUUUGGGAUGGAAACCAAAAGUAAAUCCAUACGGGCUUGCCUUUUAAGCCCAAAGUGAACAAUAUCGUACUAAUCAGAGUUGGACACGGGAUUUCACAAUCCCAACAAUUGGUAUCAGAGCGGUUUGACGAAAAUCUGCAAGAAGACCAAAAUAUCCUUCGAGUAGGAAUGGGACCCUUUAAGGUGGAAAAGGAGGUUCGGCAGAGAUAGUCAAGAAGAUCUUGGAAGUUCAGUUGUGGGAGAACAUUCUCAAAGGAACGAGAUGUUAUGAAAGACACAUUCUCAAAGGAAAUCCCUGCGAUUACUGGUACAAGGUGGUGCCAAGAUAAUCCACUGAAUGAAGAAUACACGAGAUGAGUGUGGUCUUUAGCUUGAGGGAGAGAAUGUGAGAUGUCAAUCUAAAUCCCAGAUUAGAAAUUAGAUAAAGGAGAGUCUAAUAUAUAAAGAGAUGUUCAACUCUAAUUAGUACAAGACUUUUUGGAAUGGAAACCAAAAGUAAAUCCAUGCGGGUUAGGGGUGUUCAAUCCGGAUAUCGGUUCGGUAUCGGUUCGGUUUUCUCGGUUUUUCGGUGUUUCGGUUUAUAAAAAAUAGCUACCAUAUUAAAACCAUAUUUAAUAUGGUUUGGUUCGGUUUAUAUACCGUCGGUUUUUGGUUUAUUCGGUUUUAUACCAAAAAACCGUAAAUAUAUUUAUCUUUUAAAAUAUUUUUGAAUUUUACUUUAUAAGAUUAGAUAUCGGCUUUAAAUUUAAUUAUAACAUGGCGAUAUUUUGUUUUUAAAUAAUCUAUUUUUUAUUUUACUAUUUAAAUAAUCAGUAAACAUAUUUAAUUAAUAAAAGUAAUAGUUUUAUGGAAUAAAAGUAAGAAAUAUCAGUAAUCCAUAAUACUAUUAAACAAAAAAGUAAAAAUUAUGUUUUUUUUUUAAUUUGAUAAAAAGAUUUGAACUUAAAAUAAAAUAUUAAAUAACUAAAAUAAAUAUUUAAGUAGGAAGAUCAUACCAAUAAAAUAAAUUAGGUAUAUGUUAUUAAUUAUAUUAUAUAAUUUACAUAUACUUAUACUAUUAUAUUUUAAUUGAUCGGUUUAUUUGGUUUAUUCGGUUUGAUCGGUUUAUAUACCAAACCAUAUUCAUAUACCGUGGUUUUUUAAAAAUGACAUCCAUUCGGUAUAUUGGGUACUACCAAAUCCAAACCAUUUUUUCCAUUUCGGUUUGGUUCGGUUUUAAUUGGUUCGAUUUUACCGGAUUGAAUACCCCUAAUACGGGUUUACCUCUUAAACCCAAAGUGAAUAAUAUCGUACUAAUCAGAGUUGGACACAUAAUUUCACAAUCCCAAUAAACACUGCCUCUUUUGAUUCACUUCUUGCAGAAGUGACACGAACAUGUUAUCCUUUUGUGUUUAUGAUCGGAUAAGGCUUGUAUUAACGACACUGGUCUUCUAUGUUGUCGGCGUCUCUUUUCUUCUUCUUUUUGUAGAAACAAAAGAACUUAAGAAAGCUGAUAUAAUUAAAAUAUAAGACUAAAAAUUAUUUAAUUUAAAUUUAAAAUAAAUCAUUUGUUCAUUUAUAAUAAUUUUAAAAUGAUUUCAUAUUAAAACUGUGAAUAUAUAUAUAUAUAUAUAUAUAUAUAAUAAGUUUAAAAUAAAUUAUUAUAUUAGUUAUUUUAGUACUUUCAUAAAUAACUGACAAAAUAUAUUUGAUUAUAUGUUAUAUCUUUAACAAAAACUCAAUACAUAAAGCUAAUGUAUAAUAUUAAUUUUAAUAAUUGUAUAUGUUUAUUUUCUCUAUUUUAUUACUAUUAAAUUUUGGAUUUUAUAUAAAUUAAAAACUAUGAUUUUAUAUUUUUGUUGAUUUAUGAUAUUGUAUCUUAAAAUAUACGGAAACGGAAUAGCUUCCAACUUGUUUUAGAAAAAUAUUUUAAAAAUGUUUUGGAAUCCAAAACGAAAUUCCACAACUUUCGUGCAACCUAACUUUUAAAGCCAUAUUGCUCUUUUUUAGUAUAACUUAAGAGUGCCACACUGGUUCUCUCUCUUUCUCUCUUUUGCAUUAUUUGGAAACUCAAAACACAACAAACAAAGUUUUUAAAGAACAUCAUCAAACGGUUUCAAGAAAAGAGAGAAAAAGAGAGGAGGGUUGUUUGAUUUAAGCAUCAUCUUCACCUAGAAGUGCGACGAGCAUCUUCUCGUAAUCUCCACGAGUGUCUUUGGUAAUGGCUUUCUCCAAUGGAAUGCUGUUCCUCCUCUGAUACUCUUCUCCAAUGACCUUCAAAUCAAU